rnacentral:lncRNA from 1 species
UUAUAGAGAACAAAGGUUCAAUUCACUCAUAUUUCCACAGGCUGUACAGAAGGCAUGGCUGGGAAGGCCUCAGGAAACUUACAAGCAAGGUAAAGGGGAAGCAGGCACAAGCUUCAGAUGGCAAAGCAGGAGAGACAGAGAGAUGACCUGUGUAACCAGUAGGAUACGGUGGAAGUGAUGGUGUGUGACUCCUAAGUCUAGGUCAUAAAAGACAUCACAGCUUUCUCCUACUCUUGGAUUGUUCACUCUGUGGGAAGCCAGCUGCCAUAUUGUGAGGCCACUCAGGAAGCUCUGCAGGGAGGUCCACAUGGAGAUGAACCCGAGAGACAUAUUUCAUGGUAUGCAGAUUUGAAUAAGAAACAAAGUGGAAGAAAAAAGUGAAGGAAAGAGAAGAGGAGAAGAAAUCUGGAAGGAAUGAGAAACAAAAUAGGAAGGAAGAAAAGGAACAUCUUCAUUGAGGUCCAGUCCCUUUAUGGAAUCUCAUUAACUAACCACAUGGGCUGUUCUGCUUUAUCCAACAACAUCAGCAAUGGAGGCAGUUUCCUGCUACAGAGAGAAGCAUCAGGCUCUGGAGGAAAAGAGUCUAGAGUGAUACACAGUAAACUCUCUAUGAGGUCCUGUGGCUGCCCCCUGGGAAAGCAUGUGGAGGAGGCUCUUACUCAGGUGAUAAAUGAAGGUUCGGCAGAUCUCUUGGGAAGAGAACACAGGACACAGCAACGGUUAAAAAUUGGACUACUUUAUUUUUAG